AUGGACCUGAAUAGCAUGUCAUUUCGUGCGGCUCAUAUCUUUCACAGAGAGGUUAGUAGAACCAAAGGCCACAUAUUGGCCAGCAUGUCACGUGGCAGUGUUGUGCCCCAUAGCUCAUCGACGUCCUCGGAUAUAGGUGAAAUACCCAAGCGUUGCCAAACUCUAUCAGCUAGAGGGCAUGAAAUGAAAGAGAUGCGAUGUGUCUUCACAUUGCUCAUGGCACCGAGGGCACACAUUCGCAGUGAUGAUGUGCUUGUGUGCGAGGUUGGCGCGGGUGUUGAGCCUGUUUCUGUAGAGUAG
rnacentral:rRNA from 1 species